UGAAGGUUGGAGAUGACCACGUGCGUGCAUUUUUGAAUUCAAAAGAUUGUGUUGCCUCACUCUGAUUGGUUGGUUCACGCGCGCAUUCCAUUUUAUUAGUUGUUUUAAUAUUUAUUUUAUUUGAGGAGCUUCUGAAUACCAAGAGCGCUUGGCUCAGUUGGUAAGGGGGUUGACCCCAUGACCCGAAGGUCAGAGAUUCAACCCCUAGCGCGUCCUUUGACAUGUUUUUUUAUUUAUUUCUUUCUCUUUUCUUAUUUUU
rnacentral:lncRNA from 1 species